rnacentral:rRNA from 1 species
AGAGUUUGAUCAUGGCUCAGAUUGAACGCUGGCGGCAGGCCUAACACAUGCAAGUCGAGCGGAUGAAGGGAGCUUGCUCCUGGAUUCAGCGGCGGACGGGUGAGUAAUGCCUAGGAAUCUGCCUGGUAGUGGGGGAUAACGUCCGGAAACGGGCGCUAAUACCGCAUACGUCCUGAGGGAGAAAGUGGGGGAUCUUCGGACCUCACGCUAUCAGAUGAGCCUAGGUCGGAUUAGCUAGUUGGUGGGGUAAAGGCCUACCAAGGCGACGAUCCGUAACUGGUCUGAGAGGAUGAUCAGUCACACUGGAACUGAGACACGGUCCAGACUCCUACGGGAGGCAGCAGUGGGGAAUAUUGGACAAUGGGCGAAAGCCUGAUCCAGCCAUGCCGCGUGUGUGAAGAAGGUCUUCGGAUUGUAAAGCACUUUAAGUUGGGAGGAAGGGCAGUAAGUUAAUACCUUGCUGUUUUGACGUUACCAACAGAAUAAGCACCGGCUAACUUCGUGCCAGCAGCCGCGGUAAUACGAAGGGUGCAAGCGUUAAUCGGAAUUACUGGGCGUAAAGCGCGCGUAGGUGGUUCAGCAAGUUGGAUGUGAAAUCCCCGGGCUCAACCUGGGAACUGCAUCCAAAACUACUGAGCUAGAGUACGGUAGAGGGUGGUGGAAUUUCCUGUGUAGCGGUGAAAUGCGUAGAUAUAGGAAGGAACACCAGUGGCGAAGGCGACCACCUGGACUGAUACUGACACUGAGGUGCGAAAGCGUGGGGAGCAAACAGGAUUAGAUA